rnacentral:rRNA from 1 species
UGCAGUCGACGAUGAACCACUUCGGUGGGGAUUAGUGGCGAACGGGUGAGUAACACGUGGGCAAUCUGCCCUUCACUCUGGGACAAGCCCUGGAAACGGGGUCUAAUACCGGAUAUCACUCCUGCAGGCAUCUGCGGGAGUCGAAAGCUCCGGCGGUGAAGGAUGAGCCCGCGGCCUAUCAGCUUGUUGGUGAGGUAAUGGCUCACCAAGGCGACGACGGGUAGCCGGCCUGAGAGGGCGACCGGCCACACUGGGACUGAGACACGGCCCAGACUCCUACGGGAGGCAGCAGUGGGGAAUAUUGCACAAUGGGCGAAAGCCUGAUGCAGCGACGCCGCGUGAGGGAUGACGGCCUUCGGGUUGUAAACCUCUUUCAGCAGGGAAGAAGCGAAAGUGACGGUACCUGCAGAAGAAGCGCCGGCUAACUACGUGCCAGCAGCCGCGGUAAUACGUAGGGCGCAAGCGUUGUCCGGAAUUAUUGGGCGUAAAGAGCUCGUAGGCGGCUUGUCACGUCGGGUGUGAAAGCCCGGGGCUUAACCCCGGGUCUGCAUUCGAUACGGGCUAGCUAGAGUGUGGUAGGGGAGAUCGGAAUUCCUGGUGUAGCGGUGAAAUGCGCAGAUAUCAGGAGGAACACCGGUGGCGAAGCGGAUCUCUGGGCCAUUACUGACGCUGAGGAGCGAAAGCGUGGGGAGCGAACAGGAUUAGAUACCCUGGUAGUCCACGCCGUAAACGGUGGGAACUAGGUGUUGGCGACAUUCCACGUCGUCGUGCCGCAGCUAACGCAUUAAGUUCCCCGCCUGGGGAGUACGCCGCAAGCUAAAACUCAAAGGAUUUGACGGGGGCCCGCACAAGCAGCGGAGCAUGUGGCUUAAUUCGACGCAACGCGAAGACCUUACCA